AGCUCAGCUCAGUGCAUGUUCUGGCUUCCAGCUUCCCUCCUGAGCACCUGGUGGCUGUCGGUUUACUGUGACCUCACUGCCAUUAUAUCUGCCUGGGCUUCAUUUGCAGCAUCUCACCAGGGCUGCCAGGAUCCAUCUCCCAGGCAAGGCUUUCUCCACAGAGGCUGCUGGGCCAGCAGGAGAGGAGACCUCCGAUCCAUCUGUCAGCAUGGAAAAGAAUGCCUCCUGGCUCAAGCCUAAAGUGAAAAUGCCUGGCGCUUAGCCAAAGUCAGGUGGCUUGAGAAAGACAGUGAAAACGCCGGGCAACCCCCCCCCCCCCCCCCGGCCUUCAGGGGUAAAGCGGAGGAGACCCCACACCCAAAAUCGGCAACUCCAACUCCAAGGAUCAGCGGUGCCCCUGCUCCUGUCAAAACAGAAAACGCCCGUGGCAACCGGCAAGUGUGGCCUGAAACUGCAGAGUGUGUGUUUAAUAAAACAAGGGUGGCUCAUUGAUAGAGUCGCCCCAGCGAGCGUCUGGCCGGGCGCCCGCGAGGCAGCAGGUCCUGGGCGGGGGGAGGGGGGGGCGGCUCGGGCUGGAGCUGAGCUGGCUGGGUUUGCCUGCGGGGAGGAGCCGCUGCCGCCCGCACGCCUGCAGCCCCCCUCCGCCCCCGCCCCGGGCGAUGCGGCCUUGGACUUCUGACCCGCAGGUGCGCAGUCAGCCUCCUGGCCCUCACUCAGCGGGAGGAGGUCCAUCUCUCUUCUCACUGCCCGCUGCCCCGCAGGACUGGGCGGUGUUUUCUGGAGCAGUCAAAAAUGAUCCUCUCCCAGCCCCGGGAGGUGGGGGGUGGGGGGCGGGGGGCGGGGGGUUGCUCCCGUGAAUUGCCUCUGUGCUGUUUCCCCCUUCCUCUUUCUCUCUCAGGAUUAGUGUGGUGAGGGGUAGGAGGAGGAGUUGCCAUCUAAAAAUUUUUGAAAAUAACUUUUAGGGCAACAUCGUGCCAAGUGUGCAGCCCAAUAGCCCCCAUUUUAUAGAUGAGGACACUGAGGUCCAGUGAGAUCAGAUUUGAAGUCAUGCUGCUGGGAGCUGCCAAGCCAGGUAGAGAACCCUGGUGCCCACAUUCACAAUUGUUUUCCCUUCUUUAACACCCACUGAGGCAAAAUGUUGAUUUUUUUUCUCAGUUACGAAGAAUUGUUAAAAUUUGACAGCUGGGGGGUUAGGGAGUGAGCCAAAAGGCCUUUCAAUAUUAAAGCGAUGUUUUAAGCAAAUCUGGGGGUCUUCUGGCUCUCCACUGGAAGGUAACUUUGACUUCAUAUUUACUAUCAGUUGGAGUCCAGGCAUGCAUAACUCUGUAAAAUUAGAUGACGUUGUGUAGUAACUGCUAAAAUGUAAAUGACUUUCCGGUUCAGUAGAGAGGCAAAUGAUUUCUAUCUGGUAUAAAAAAAUAACCCCAAAGGUUAUGGUUUUGUUUGUUGCCCCAUAGGACAUUAACCAGCUUUGAAUCUAACUUUGUGGUCUUCAGCAUUCCUUUUUGUUCUUUACGUGCACAAAAAUCUUUGUUCCCAUGUUGUAAACCAGCUUUCUUACCCUGAGGAUUCUCUCAGUAAUGGAUUAAUUAAAUCAUCGACACAUACUCAUCAUCCCUUGUCAAGGCUUCAUGUUCCUCUUGCUCUAGAGUCCCCCUCAAUCCCCUAUCAGCUGAAGUACACACUCAACACCCAUUGCCGAUUUUCACAUGACAUCAGGGGGCACCUGGGAUACAUGCUCCCCAAC